rnacentral:rRNA from 1 species
GACGAACGCUGGCGGCGUGCUUAACACAUGCAAGUCGAGCGGUAAGGCCCUUUCGGGGGUACACGAGCGGCGAACGGGUGAGUAACACGUGGGUGACCUGCCCUCAGCUCUGGGAUAAGCCUGGGAAACCGGGUCUAAUACCGGAUAUGACUCCAUGACGCAUGUUGUGGGGUGGAAAGCCUUGUGCGGCUGAGGAUGGGCCCGCGGCCUAUCAGCUUGUUGGUGGGGUGAUGGCCUACCAAGGCGACGACGGGUAGCCGGCCUGAGAGGGCGACCGGCCACACUGGGACUGAGACACGGCCCAGACUCCUACGGGAGGCAGCAGGUGGGGAAUCUUGCGCAAUGGGCGAAAGCCUGACGCAGCGACGCCGCGUGAGGGAUGACGGCCUGG